rnacentral:rRNA from 1 species
UGGGGAAUAUUGGGCAAUGGGCGCAAGCCUGACCCAGCAACGCCGCGUGAGGGAAGAAGGCCUUCGGGUUGUAAACCUCUGUCCUAUGGGAAGAAAAAAAGUGACGGUACCAUAGGAGGAAGCUCCGGCUAACUACGUGCCAGCAGCCGCGGUAAUACGUAGGGAGCGAGCGUUGUCCGGAAUUACUGGGCGUAAAGGGUGCGUAGGCGGUUAUUUAAGUCAGAUGUGAAAUACUUGAGCUUAACUCAGGGGCUGCAUCUGAUACUGGGUGACUAGAGUGCAGGAGAGGAAAGUGGAAUUCCUAGUGUAGCGGUGGAAUGCGUAGAUAUUAGGAGGAACACCAGUGGCGAAGGCGACUUUCUGGACUGUAACUGACGCUGAGGCACGAAAGUAUGGGUAGCAAACAGGAUUAGAUACCC